GCCAGACUCCUACGGGAGGCAGCAGUGAGGAAUAUUGGUCAAUGGGCUUACGCCUGAACCAGCCAAGUCGCGUGAGGGAAGACUGCCCUAUGGGUUGUAAACCUCUUUUGUCAGGGAGCAAUUGGCGCUACGUGUAGCGUUAUCGAGAGUACCUGAAGAAAAAGCAUCGGCUAACUCCGUGCCAGCAGCCGCGGUAAUACGGAGGAUGCGAGCGUUAUCCGGAUUUAUUGGGUUUAAAGGGUGCGUAGGCGGCCCGGAAAGUCAGGGGGAAAAGCCCGGGGCUCACCCCCGGCGAGCCGUUGAAACUGUCGGACUAGAGACGGCGAGAAGUACGCGGAAUGCGCGGUGUAGCGGUGAAAUGCAUAGAUAUCGCGCAGAACUCCGAUUGCGAAGGCAGCAUGCCGGCUCCACACUGACGCUGAGGCACGAAAGCGUGGGUAUCGAACAGGAUUAGAUACCCCGGUAAG
rnacentral:rRNA from 1 species